rnacentral:rRNA from 1 species
UCUAUUUUGUUGGUUUUCGGAACUGAGGCCAUGAUUAAGAGGGACGGCCGGG